rnacentral:rRNA from 1 species
AGGCGGGGAUAACUAUUGGAAACGAUAGCUAAUACCGCAUAACAUUGACUAUUGCAUGAUAGUCAAUUGAAAGGUGCAAAUGCACCACUACCAGAUGGACCUGCGUUGUAUUAGCUAGUUGGUGGGGUAACGGCUCACCAAGGCGACGAUACAUAGCCGACCUGAGAGGGUGAUCGGCCACACUGGGACUGAGACACGGCCCAG